GCACAAGCGGAGGAACAUGUGGUUAAUUCGAUGAUACGCGAGGAACCUUACCUGGGCUUAAAUGUAGAGUGCAUUUUUAGAGAUAGAAAUUCCCUUCGGGGCUUUCUGCAAGGUGCUGCAUGGUUGUCGUCAGCUCGUGCCGUGAGGUGUCGGGUUAAGUCCCAUAACGAGCGCAACCCUUAUCGUUAGUUGCCAUCUGGUAAUGCAGGGGACUCUAGCGAAACUGCCACCGUAAGGUGAGAGGAAGGUGGGGAUGACGUCAAAUCAGCACGGCCCUUAUGUCCAGGGCUACACACGUGUUACAAUGGUCGGUACAGAGGGCAGCUACCUGGUGACAGGAUGCUAAUCUCGAAAACCGGUCUCAGUUCGGAUCGAAGUCUGCAACUCGACUUCGUGAAGCUGGAUUCGCUAGUAAUCGCGCAUCAGCUAUGGCGCGGUGAAUACGUUCCCGGGCCUU
rnacentral:rRNA from 1 species